rnacentral:rRNA from 1 species
GAUGAACGCUGGCGGCGUGCUUAACACAUGCCAGUCGAACGGAAAGGCCCAAGCUUGCUUGGGUACUCGAGUGGCGAACGGGUGAGUAACACGUGGGUGAUCUGCCCUGCACUUCGGGAUAAGCCUGGGAAACUGGGUCUAAUACCGGAUAGGACCACAUUUUGGAUGGUGUGGUGGAAAGUUUUUCGGUGUGGGAUGAGCUCGCGGCCUAUCAGCUUGUUGGUGGGGUAAUGGCCUACCAAGGCGUCGACGGGUAGCCGGCCUGAGAGGGUGUACGGCCACAUUGGGACUGAGAUACGGCCCAGACUCCUACGGGAGGCAGCAGUGGGGAAUAUUGCACAAUGGGCGCAAGCCUGAUGCAGCGACGCCGCGUGGGGGAUGACGGCCUUCGGGUUGUAAACUCCUUUCGCUAGGGACGAAGCGCAAGUGACGGUACCUGGAGAAGAAGCACCGGCUAACUACGUG